rnacentral:rRNA from 1 species
CCUACGGGAGGCAGCAGUGGGGAAUCUUCCGCAAUGGGCGAAAGCCUGACGGAGCAACGCCGCGUGAUCGAAUGAAGGCCUUCGGGUUGUAAAGAUCUGUUGACAGGGACGAAUAAGCAAUGCGAAUAGUUUUGUGUAUGACGGUACCUGUUUAGAAAGCUCCGGCUAACUACGUGCCAGCAGCCGCGGUAAUACGUAGGGAGCAAGCGUUGUCCGGAAUUACUGGGCGUAAAGGGCGCGUAGGUGGGCGCUUAAGUCAGGUGUGAAAACUCCGGGCUCAACCUGGAGACUGCACUUGAAACUUGCAAGCUGGAAUGCGGUAGAGGUAAAGGGAAUUCCUGGUGUAGCGGUGAAAUGCUUAGAUAUCAGGAGGAACAUCGGUGGCGGAAGCGCUUUACUGGGCCGUAAUUGACGCUGAGGAACGAAAGCCAGGGUAGCAAAUGGGAUUAGAUACCCGAGUAGUC